CGAGCGGCGGACGGGUGAGUAAUGCAUAGGAAGUUGCCCAGUAGAGGGGGAUACCAGUUGGAAACGACUGUUAAUACCGCAUAACCUCUUCGGAGCAAAGCGGGGGACCUUCGGGCCUCGCGCUACUGGAUACGCCUAUGUGGGAUUAGCUAGUUGGUGAGGUAAUGGCUCACCAAGGCGACGAUCCCUAGCUGGUCUGAGAGGAUGAUCAGCCACACUGGGACUGAGACACGGCCCAGACUCCUACGGGAGGCAGCAGUGGGGAAUAUUGCACAAUGGGCGAAAGCCUGAUGCAGCCAUGCCGCGUGUAUGAAGAAGGCCUUCGGGUUGUAAAGUACUUUCAGUUGUGAGGAAGGUUGUGUAGUUAAUAGCUGCAUAAUUUGACGUUAGCAACAGAAGAAGCACCGGCUAACUCCGUGCCAGCAGCCGCGGUAAU
rnacentral:rRNA from 1 species